UCAAGCGAGAAAGGGCUCACGGUGGAUGCCUUGGCGCCAGGAGCCGAUGAAGGACGUGUCUGGCUGCGAAAAGCUUCGGGGAGCUGCCGAGAGAGCGUUGAUCCGGAGAUGUCCGAAUGGGGAAACCCGGCCGGGGUCAUGCCCGGUCACCCGCGCCUGAACCCAUAGGGCGUGUGGAGGGAACCGCGCGAAGUGAAACAUCUCAGUAGCGCGAGGAAGGGAAAGCAACCGCGACUCCCUCAGUAGCGGCGAGCGAACGGGGAUGAGCCUAAACCGGUGUGGUGUUCAAGCCCGACGGCGUUGCCAUGCCGGGGUCGUGGGACCCGCGGGGACCCUCGUCGGGGGGUCCGGGGAGUUACAAAGCCGACGUCUAGUCGAAGGCCAUGGAACGGGCCGCCAUAGAAGGUAACAGCCCUGUAGGCGAAAGGCGAUCGGCCUCCCUGCGCGGUGUUCCCGAGUAGCACGGGACCCCGGAAAUCCCGUGUGAAUCUGGGGGGACCACCCCCUAAGGCUAAGCACUCCCUGGCGACCGAUAGUGAACCAGUACCGUGAGGGAAAGGUGAAAAGCACCCCGGGAGGGGAGUGAAAGAGUACCUGAAACCGUGAGCCUACAAGCAGUCGGAGCGUUCGCUGGGCAACCAGCGGGCGUGACGGCGUGCCUUUUGAAGAAUGAGCCGGCGAGUUAGCGGUACGCGGCGAGGUUAAGCCAUCUGGCGGAGCCGAAGCGAAAGCGAGUCUGCAUGGGGCGUACAGUCGCGUGCCCUAGACCCGAAGCCGAGUGAUCUACCCAUGGGCAGGUUGAAGCGAGGGUAAGACCUCGUGGAGGACCGAACCCACCAGGGUUGAAAACCUGGGGGAUGACCUGUGGGUAGGGGUGAAAGGCCAAUCAAACUCGGUGAUAGCUGGUUCUCCCCGAAAUGCCUUUCGGGGCAGCCUCGAGCGUUCUCCGGCGGAGGUAGAGCACUGAUCGGGCUAGGGGGCCCACAAGCUUACCGAACUCGGUCAAACUCCGAAUGCCGUCGGACGAAGCUCGGGAGUGAGGGCGCGGGGGCUAAGCUCCGCGUCCGAGAGGGAAACAACCCAGACCACCAGCUAAGGUCCCCAAGUUCGUGCUCAGUGGGCAAGGAUGUGGGAUCGCCCAGACAACCAGGAGGUUGGCUUAGAAGCAGCCAUCCUUGAAAGAGUGCGUAACAGCUCACUGGUCAAGUGGUCCUGCGCCGACGAUGUAACGGGGCUCAAGCACGACACCGAAGCUGUGGGAUCCGCCGGAUCGCUCGGCCCUCGAGGGAGGCCUCGUGGGUCCAGGCGGGUGGAUCGGUAGGGGAGCGUUCCGACGCGAGUGAAGCGGCGGGGGAACCCAGCCGUGGACGCGUCGGAAGUGAGAAUGCCGGCAUGAGUAGCGAAAGACGGGGGAGGAGCCCGUCCGCCGAAUGCCCAAGGGUUCCUGGGGAAGGUUCAUCCGCCCAGGGUUAGUCGGGACCUAAGCCGAGGCCGAGAGGCGUAGGCGAUGGACGACUGGUUGAUAUUCCAGUACCACCUCACCCGCGCCCAGCCCGACCCCCGGUCGCUAAGGGAACCCCUUCGGGGGCUACCGACCCACCGGGGCUAGGGCAGCGAUGGGGGGACGCAGGAGGGUAGCUCGACCCAGGCGGUGGUCGUCCUGGGGCAAGUGUGUAGGGGGACCCCCUAGGCAAAUCCGGGGGGUCGCGUACCCUGAGGCACGAUGCCGAGCCGUUCAGGCGAAGCGAGUGAUCCCAUGCUGCCGAGAAAAGCCCCUAGCGAGCUGGUGAGGUGCCCGUACCCCAAACCGACGCAGGUGGGCACGCAGAGCAUGCGAAGGCGAUCGAGAGAACCCUGGUUAAGGAACUCGGCAAAUCGCGUCCGUAACUUCGGGAGAAGGACGACCGCGCUAGGGUGAAGGACCUCGCGUCCGGAGCUCGAAGCGGUGGCACAAACCAGGCCCAAGCGACUGUUUACUAAAAACACAGGUCCGUGCGAAGUCGUAAGACGAUGUAUACGGACUGACGCCUGCCCGGUGCCGGAACGUUAAGGGGAUGGGUUAGCCCCUCGGGGCGAAGCUCUGAACCUAAGCGCCGGUAAACGGCGGCGGUAACUAUAACCGUCCUAAGGUAGCGAAAUUCCUUGUCGGGUAAGUUCCGACCUGCACGAAUGGCGUAACGACUUGGGCACUGUCUCAACCGGGGACUCGGCGAAAUUGCACGACGAGUAAAGAUGCUCGUUACCCGCAGCAGGACGGAAAGACCCCGGGACCUUUACUGUAGCUUGGUGUUGGGUUCUGGCAUGUGUUGCGUAGGAUAGGUGGGAGGCUGCGAAGCCGCGCUUCCGGGCGCGGUGGAGCCGUCCUUGAAAUACCACCCUUCACGUGUUGGGGCUCUAACCCGGGCCCGUGAUCCGGGUCGGGGACAGCGCCUGGUGGGCAGUUUAACUGGGGCGGUUGCCUCCUAAAAGGUAACGGAGGCGCCCAAAGGUUCCCUCAGUCCGGUUGGCAAUCGGACGUCGAGUGUAAGGGCACAAGGGAGCCUGACUGCGAGACCGACGGGUCGAGCAGGUGCGAAAGCAGGGCCUAGUGAUCCGACGACUCCAUGUGGAAGGGUCGUCGCUCAACGGCUAAAAGGUACCCCGGGGAUAACAGGCUGAUCCUGCCCAAGAGUCCAUAUCGACGGCAGGGUUUGGCACCUCGAUGUCGGCUCGUCUCAUCCUGGGGCUGGAGCAGGUCCCAAGGGUCGGGCUGUUCGCCCGUUAAAGAGGCACGCGAGCUGGGUUUAGAACGUCGUGAGACAGUUCGGUCCCUAUCCGCUGCGGGCGUUGGAAGCUUGAAGGGAGCUGCCCCUAGUACGAGAGGACCGGGGCGGACGAACCUCUGGUGUGCCAGUUGUCGCGCCAGCGGCACGGCUGGUUAGCCACGUUCGGAAGGGAUAAGCGCUGAAAGCAUCUAAGUGCGAAGCUCGCCCUGAGAUGAGGCUUCCCACCGGGAGACCGGGUAAGGCCCGUGGGAGACCACCACGUCGAUAGGCCGGAGGUGGAAGCACGGCAACGUGUGGAGCCGACCGGUACUAAUAGGCCGAGGGCUUGAC
rnacentral:rRNA from 1 species